rnacentral:ncRNA from 2 species
AAUAACUAUUAGGGGUGCCUUUUAUCAUAGGCUGAGAUAAUACCCUUGAACCUGAAAUGUAUAAUGACAUCGUAGGGAAAUGGUUUUGAUAUUUA